GUUUGGGUGGGCAUGUUUGAGUCUUUUGUUGUGCCAUCCUUCCAGGUGAUUUGUGGUGCGGGGUCCUUCUGUGUAAUAGUGAUUCCAUAGAAAGCGGUAGCUUUCAACCCAGAACUCUGUCAUGUAUUCUGUAAAUGAAGUUGUAGCGGGUUUGUUUUCAGCUUCUCCAAUGUCUUCUAAAGUGUUUAGCCAAACAUCCUCAACAAGGUGGGCGGAACAAGAGGUAGUACUGCAGCUUGUCGUAUCAGUUUAGUAAUGUCUUCAUUUUCUUA
rnacentral:lncRNA from 1 species